GGGGUUGUGGCUCAGUGGUAGAACACUUGCCUAGCAUGCAUAGGGUACUAGGUUCGAUCCCCAGCACCCCA
rnacentral:tRNA from 1 species